rnacentral:RNase_P_RNA from 1 species
CGGGCCGGCCAGACCAUCGCGGCAGCAUCGGCUGUCGAGGAAAGUCCGGGCUCCAUAGGGCAGGAUGGUGGGUAACGCCCACUCGGGGAAACCCGCAGGCCAGUGCCACAGAAAACAGACCGCCCGCAAGGGUAAGGGUGAAACGGUGGGGUAAGAGCCCACCAGCGCCGCAGGUGACUGCGGCGGCUCGGCAAACCCCAUCCGGAGCAAGGUCGAGCAGAGCACGUUCGAGGGCUGCCCGCCCGAGUGCUCGGGUUGACCGCUUGAGGUCCGCGGCAACGCGGCACCCAGAUGGAUGAUGGUCCAACGACAGAACCCGGCUUAUCGGCCGGCCCGCCCC